GAAAAAAGGGAAAGGCCGAAAAAGGUGGACGGUACCUGCAGGAAGAGCGCCGGCCUAACUAACGUUGCCAGGCAGCCGGCGGUUAAAUACGUUAGGGCGCAAAGCCGUUAUUCCCGGAAAUUUAUUGGGGCGUAAAAGAGCCUCGUAGGCCGGUUUUGUCGCGUCUGCCGUGAAAGUCCGGGGGCUCAAACUCCGGAUCUGCGGUGGGUACGGGCAGACUAGAGUGAUGUAGGGGAGACUGGAAUUCCUGGUGUAGCGGUGAAAUGCGCAGAUAUCAGGAGGAACACCGAUGGCGAAGGCAGGUCUCUGGGCAUUAACUGACGCUGAGGAGCGAAAGCAUGGGGAGCGAACAGGAUUAGAUACCCUGGUAGUCCAUGCCGUAAACGUUGGGCACUAGGUGUGGGGGACAUUCCACGUUUUCCGCGCCGUAGCUAACGCAUUAAGUGCCCCGCCUGGGGAGUACGGCCGCAAGGCUAAAACUCAAAGGAAUUGACGGGGGCCCGCACAAGCGGCGGAGCAUGCGGAUUAAUUCGAUGCAACGCGAAGAACCUUACCAAGGCUUGACAUGAACCGGUAAUACCUGGAAACAGGUGCCCCGCUUGCGGCCGGUUUACAGGUGGUGCAUGGUUGUCGUCAGCUCGUGUCGUGAGAUGUUGGGUUAAGUCCCGCAACGAGCGCAACCCUCGUUCUAUGUUGCCAGCACGUGAUGGUGGGGACUCAUAGGAGACUGCCGGGGUCAACUCGGAGGAAGGUGGGGACGACGUCAAAUCAUCAUGCCCCUUAUGUCUUGGGCUUCACGCAUGCUACAAUGGCCGGUACAAAGGGUUGCGAUACUGUGAGGUGGAGCUAAUCCCAAAAAGCCGGUCUCAGUUCGGAUUGGGGUCUGCAACUCGACCCCAUGAAGUCGGAGUCGCUAGUAAUCGCAGAUCAGCAACGCUGCGGUGAAUACGUUCCCGGGCCUUGUACACACCGCCCGUCAAGUCACGAAAGUUGGUAACACCCGAAGCCGGUGGCCUAACCCCUUGUGGGAGGGAGCUGUCGAAGGUGGGACUGGCGAUUGGGACUAAGUCGAAGCAAGUGCCAC
rnacentral:rRNA from 1 species